AUACGGAGGAUGCGAGCGUUAUCCGGAUUUAUUGGGUUUAAAGGGUGCGCAGGCGGCCAUUUAAGUCAGCGGUUAAAUCGUGGGGCUCAACCCCAUUCUGCCGUUGAUACUGGGUGGCUUGAUUGCGGUCGAGGUUGGCGGAAUUCGUUGUGUAGCGGUGAAAUGCAUAGAUAUGACGAAGAACACCGAUUGCGUAGGCAGCUGACCAGACCGCAAAUGACGCUCAUGCACGAAAGUACGGGGAUCGAACAGGAUUAGAUACCCUGGUAGUCCGCACAGUAAACGAUGAAUACUUGUUUUCGGCGAUAUAAUGUCGGAGGCAAAGCGAAAGCGAUAAGUAUUCCACCUGGGGAGUACGCCGGCAACGGUGAAACUCAAAUGAAUUGACGGGG
rnacentral:rRNA from 1 species